rnacentral:misc_RNA from 1 species
AUUGCCUCGAUCCUAGAUCACCGUCUUUUUCUCGUUGUCCUGUUCAGUCUGUUUUUUUUUUUUUGCGUGUGUGUACUCUAACCGUAGUUCAAGGCGUAUGUGUGUGUGUGUGUGUGCUCGAGUUUGCCUGGUGUUGUCGUCACAGCAGCUGUCGAAUCACGCAUACAUCACCACCACUUUCAUUCCUGCCUCGAAAAAAAAAAAACAGACGCAUAAAGCCACAGACAUCGGCGAGGUAGAAGCGCAGCCGCGGGUUUCGCCUUUUCUCUUCCCAUCGACUUUGUUGACCUCCCGCCUUGCAAUCCAGUCAGGGCACCAUGUCCACGUUUGCCCUUGAACCCUUGCCGCUUUUCCAGCCCAUCACGGCCACGUCAGAGGAGCGCAUCACGCAAGUUUUGGAGGCGCUGAGGGCGCAGCACAAGUCAACGUUUCCGCUGCUCUUCCAGCGCGCCUUGGAUCGCGGCACAGCGGACUUGCCUACCCCGCAGAAUGACCUUCGUCUUAUGGCAUACGCCUUCCUUGUCGCGCGACACUGGAACGUGGAGAAAGCGGUGAAGAUGGCGAACGAUGCAUGCCUCUUCUUCGAGAAAUUCCGCACCGGCAAUGACUGGCUCUUGCCGUCUGCCUUUUCGAUUCGUGGCUACGACCAGGCCAACGUGGCGGCCUGGACAAAGCAGCCCUUCGGAACAACGAACACGCCGCUCUACCGAUGCAUGCAGACGAUGUCGCCACUGGUGCAUGGCGGGUUUCACUACUGGGACCGUCGUGGCCUGCCGGUGCUCUACUGGCUCGUAGGGCGCAUGGAUACGCACUCGGUCCUCCGGAAACUGAAGCCGCAUGUCCCGGUUGGCACCACGAUCGAAGAGUUCUUUCAGCUAUUUGGGGGCGGCAUCAUCGAGACGGGCUGGACACUCUGCAGGUACCAGGACGCCGUUCUUACAGCCCACCCGCAACCCGGGAUCGACAUGGGCGCACCGCGCCGCAACUUCUGCACCAUCGUCGUGGACUGCAAAGGGUUAAGCUAUAAGAUUAUCGACAGGCAACUGCUGGAAAAGACGAAGGCGACGCUGCAGCAGAUGCAUUGCGUGUUCGCCGACUGCAUCCACCGCAUCGUUGUCGUGAACUGCCCGCCCAUGGUAAAGUUUGCCUACAGACUCCUGAAAUCCGCCAUAGGCGAGGGUGUGCAGCAGAAGAUCACGUUUGUGUCGCCAGAGAACACGACGGCGGCGCUCGACAGCGUCGUCGGCCUGGAGCGUGUGCCGGCCUUUCUUGGCGGCCACUGCCAAUGUGAGGGCGGUUGCAUUGCCUCGUACAACCCGAACACCGCCUUCAAGACCGAGGAGGCUGACGAUGAGGGUGACGUCACCACGGAGAACAUCAUCGUGGGCCCUGGAAAGAAGCACGAGAGAGUGUUUGAGCUGCAGCAGGGAGAGGAGGUGAUUUGGGAGUUCUCGACGACGAAGGGCACCGAUGUGCGCUUCUCAGUUAUGUUCUACCCGAAGCAGCAAGGCGUGACGGCGCAGUCGAAGGGCGGAAGGGUGAGGGUGCGCAUCGACAAGUCGGUAAAGCGCACAACGACCGAGAACCCGGUGGUGAAGCAGGAGAAACUGAAGGACGGUGCAGACAGCUACAUGGCCCCGGAGGACGGCAUUCUGCAGCUUGUCUGGGACAACUCGAAGUCGAUCGUGAGCGACAAGGGCAUUCAGAUGCGCGUCUACAAGUCGGAAGCGAUUAUGGAGUCGCCCGAUGAGUAAAGCAGUCCAGUAAGCGAUGCAAGGUGUGUAUUUCCUCUUCUCUGUCGCUGCUGAGCUCUUUUGCGGGUCUCUCCCCGUGUGGUGUCUGCGUGUGAGAUGUGGGUGUGCGUGGAGGGGGUGCAAUAUUUCGUUUGACACUCUCAGCCCCACCCUGGCGGAGGGCAGCUACACCUCCGCACCCUUUCACACGACACGCUUUAGGUCAAGGGUUGGAAACGGAGGUGUACGCCGAGACAAACGAGCCUCGCUCAUGCCACGGCGGCCUUUUUCCACUGGUUGACCAUGGAGUGCGAUGCGGCGUCCUACCUAGCUUCCCCUUCGUUUAAUUGUGUCUCCUCCUUCAGUUUUGCAGGCUCGACCGUUUUCGCUGUGCUGCACUUCCUUAUACGCUAGCCCCCGUCUUGCACGCGUGCACACAAAAAUACCUUAUCUUUCCUGCACGCGUCCCUCUCCUCCUCAUUCGCCUUACGUCUUCACCAUUAUCUCUUCAUUUCUGUUGCAGCGUAUUUUUUUUCUUCUUUCGCUGCGAGCACGUGGGAACACACGCACACGAUGAAAAGUCGUUUUGUCAUGAACCGGUGAGGAACUCGGCUUGGGAUACAUUAGGUGCGCAUGUGGCCGUGUGCGCGUGUGAGUCUUCCCGUUGUCUUGUAUGUGUGUAUGUGUGUGCUUGUAUGCCGUCUUUUCUGCAAACGCCCUUCUCGUUCUGUGCACAAGGAUGAGCAUGUAUGAUAUGAGGUGUGGCAGUAUUUUUUUUUUCGGCGGGGGUUUGGGGUUUUUGUGUGCUGUGUUCCGUGCAGCUUGCAAUGUCUUUUUUUUUUGCUCGUUACUUCCUCAGCUGCAUUACGGAACGCAGCGGCUUGAAGCAACUUGGAUGGGAGGGGGGGGGGCAUGGCAUCCCAGCAUGGUGUGCAGGCUCUCUCCGAGAGCCCUGACCUGCAGCUGGCGAAGUGCCUCCUGGAGCUCAUCCGGCACGCGCCUCUGCCCAGCCCCUAUUCCCCGCAUGGCAGACGCCGAUGCUUUUCGCCCUCGAGCAGCACCCUGGACGCGACUGGCUUGGGUGAAGGCGUGCGAUGCGCCCACGUCUCUGUCUGACGCCCGAGGCGCAUCACGUGUGCGAAGAAGGGACGAGAACCUCUUGCUAGACGCAUGGCCCCGAUUCGACGGCAGGGCUGUUCAAAUUUCUCGUGGAGGAAUGACACGUUGAGGAAGUGAAAUGUACUUCCCUGUGCCCGUGGGCCGUUCUGUGUGUAUAAUGCCUUUUUUUGUUUGCUUUGUCUUGUGCUGCUCAUGUGUUUAUGCAACCCCUUUCUUUUGUGUGUGUGCGUGUGCGUGGCCAUGCGUACCAUCGUUGAUCCCUACUCGUGCCAGUAUGUGUGCGUGUUGGCGAAUGCCCUGUAUUCUUUAUUAUUAUGUAUUCGUUUCUUUUUUUUUGCGUUGUGAACUGCUUCCGUCCCCAUCUACGUCUCUCCAUGUCUCCAUACUGUGCAUACCCAUUCAUCCUCAUCAUUCUUUUUUUUUCCGGCCUGCUCUUGAGCUCUGUGCCGGCGUGCAUACUUGCAUCCGCCCGCGCCGAACAUCUGGGACAUGAUGACAAGAGUGCUUGGCGAUGCGGUGGUGUCGCAAACGAAGGGCAUCUCUUUCUCUUGAUACCUGUUCGUCCUUUGCAGCACUUCACCGUUUCCAUACUAAGCUCGCAUACAUGACUUCACAGUUGUUGAGUCUUUUCCUUCCCCUUCUCUCGUCUCUGUCUAUACGUCCUCCUCCUCCUCCCUCUCGCUCCCCCUCUCUUUCCCUCUCUUGGCUCCGAUUUCGUUUCUUUGUUCGACUCUCCUCCUUUAUGUCUCCUUGGCUUCCUUUCCUUUCCACAUUCCUUUACUUGUUUUUUGUAUGACUACCACUGCUCCUCCUCCUUUUGGGGGAGGCGGGGCGGAGGGGGGGUAGGUGGGCGUGUCAAAAGAUGUGCGUAUCGACUUCAUUUUUUGUGUGUGUUUCUGCGCUUCCCUCAAGCCCGCCCCCUCGCUCGUGCGAUCAGCAUGAGUUCGGGGGGGAGGAGAGGAUAGACGUUUUUUGUGCGCGUGGUUGUCCGUCUCGCUCUCUCAUUUUGGUGGGCGGGCGUGGUAUCGUGCGGGCGCCUCCUUUGAAUGAUGUGAAUGUUUGCGCACACGGGCCCACGUAGGCCUGUGUGCAUGCAUGUGCUUCGCGCAAAAUGUGCUUUUCGACGAAUAUAUCUCUGCGUCUAUAUAUGUGUGUGUGUGCGUUACCUCGCAUGUAUGGAGUGGCGGCUGCUGAAUGCGAGAGCGGCGCAACGCGACAUACAGUCUUCCCACCAAGUCAC